rnacentral:RNase_P_RNA from 1 species
GUUAGUGAGUAGUCGCGCCAUAAUUUUCAUUAUGGUGAGGAAAGUCCACGCUCGCCUAAGCUGCGAUGCUUAGAGUUUGGAUGCCUAGCCAAUCAAUAAGCUAGGGCAGUAUGAAUAUACUGACGGCGAUGAAAAGGACUCUCUGAGUUCUGAUUAGUCUUAAAGUGCCACAGAGACGAGUCUUUCCAGCGAUGGGAAGAGUGGAACGAGGUAAACCCCAUCUGCGAGAAACCCAAAUUAUGGUAGGGGAAUUGCCUGAGGGGAAAUGAACCCAAGGGUGGAUCGUCGUAUGACGAUAGAUAGAUGACUACUAAUUCUGUGUGAGGCUGGUUGCCGUUUGCAACACGGAAUUACAGAACGUGGCUUAUAGCG